rnacentral:lncRNA from 1 species
GAAUGGUUGUAGAAUGUGAGGAAUGUUCUGGGGUGGAAAGUUGGGAAUGAUCAUUCUGGAAGGUGAGGAGUGAUCUGGUGUGGAAGGUGAGGAAGGGUCUGGUGUGGGAGGUUGGGAAUGAUCUGGUGUGGAAAGUUGGGAGUGGUUGUAGAAGGUGAGGAAUGAUCUGGUGUGGAAAGUUGGGAAUGAUCAUUCUGGAAGGUGAGGAAUGUUCUGGUGUGGAAGGUUGGGAAUGGUUGUAGAAGCUGAGGAAUUUUGUGGUGUGGAAGGUUGGGAUGGUUUUUGUACAAUGUGAAGAAUGUUCUGGUGUGGAAGGUGGGGAAUGAUCAUUCUGGAAGGUGAGGAGUGAUCUGGUGUGGAAGGUGAGGAAGGGUCUGGUGUGGAAGGUUGGGAAUGGUUGUAGAAUGUGAGGAAUGUUCUGGCAUGGAAAGUUGGGAAUGAUCAUUCUGGAAGGUGAGGAAUGUUCUGGUGUGGAAGGUUGGGAUGGUUGUUGUAGAAGGUGAGGAAUGUUCUGGGGUGGAAAGUUGGGAGUGGUCCUUGUAGAAAGUGAGGAAUGAUCUGAUGUGGAAGGUGAGGAAGGGUCUGGUGUGGAAGGUUGGGAAUGAUUAUUCUGGAAGGUGAGGAUUGUUCUGAUGUGGAAGAUGAAGAAUAGUCCAGUGUGGAAAGUGAGGAACGAUCCCUUGUGGAAGGUGGGGAAUGCUCCAGUGUGGAAGUUGAGGAGCAGUUUGAUGUGGAAGGUGAGGAAAGCUCCAAUGUGGAAGGUGAGGAGCAAUCCCACGUGGAAGAUGGGGAUGGAUUUUAUGUGAAAGGUGAGGAGCAAUCCCAUGUGGAAGUUGAGGAAAGCUCCAGUGUGGAGCAUGAGGAGCAAUCCCACGUGGAAGAUGGGGAUGGAUUUUAUUUGGAAGGUGAGGAACAAUCCCAUGUGGAAGUUGAGGAAAGCUCCAGGGUGGAGGGUGAGGAACAAUCCCAUGUGGAAGUUGAGGAAAGCUCCAGGGUGGAAGGUGAGGAAAGCUCCAGGGUGGAGGGUGAGGAGCAAUCCCAUGUGGAAGGUGAGGAGCAAUCCCCUGUGGAAGGUGGGGAUGGAUUUUAUUUGGAAGGUGAGGAACAAUCCCAUGUGGAAGGNGGAUGGAUUUUAUUUGGAAGGUGAGGAGCAAUCCCCUGUGGAAGGUGGGGAUGGAUUUUAUUUGGAAGGUGAGGAACAAUCCCAUGUGGAAGGUGGGGAGGCCCUCAGGCCCAUCCCAAAUCCCGCGGCGGGCGCCGAGGAGCGCCCCGGCUCCCGGCAAUUAAACGCUGCUAACGAGGGAAGCGCUCGUUCCGUCCCUCGCGAUUGCUCCUGGCGCAGCCUCUCGACGAGCGCCUUCCAACACGGUUCUGCAGCACUGGAAGGGGAAAAAAAAAUUAAAUAAAUCGAAUCAAAUCUGCAUAUUUUAAGGAGACAGAUUGCUGCCUUCAUCUGGCUCCCUGAUUAGAUGCCAGGGCGGCACCGUGCGAC